AUCGGGUCUCACUGUGUUGCUCAAGCUGGUCUUGAAUUCCUGAUAAGACCAGCUUGAGCAACACAGUGAGACCCGAU
rnacentral:pre_miRNA from 1 species